AAAGUGGAGCAAUCCAUGAGUACAGUGGCGACCGGGUGAGUAACACGUGACCAACCUGCCUUCGAGUGGGGGAUAACUCCGGGAAACCGGGGCUAAUACCGCAUAAAAUCUUUGGAACGCGAGUUCCGUUGAUCAAAGGAGCAAUUCGCUUGAAGAGGGGGUCGCGGCUGAUUAGCUAGUUGGCGGGGUAAUGGCCCACCAAGGCGAAGAUCGGUAUCCGGCCUGAGAGGGCGCACGGACACACUGGAACUGAAACACGGUCCAGACUCCUACGGGAGGCAGCAGUGGGGAAUUUUGCGCAAUGGGGGAAACCCUGACGCAGCAACGCCGCGUGGAGGAUGAAGUCCCUUGGGACGUAAACUCCUUUCGACCAAGACGAUAAUGACGGUACUGGUGGAAGAAGCACCGGCUAACUCUGUGCCAGCAGCCGCGGUAAUACAGAGGGUGCGAGCGUUGUUCGGAAUUAUUGGGCGUAAAGGGCGCGUAGGCGGUGCCACAAGUCACUUGUGAAAACUCUGGGCUCAACCCAGAGCCUGCAGGCGAAACUGUGGUGCUGGAGUAUGGGAGAGGUGCGUGGAAUCCCCGGUGUAGCGGUGAAAUGCGUAGAUAUCGGGAGGAACACCUGUGGCGAAAGCGGCGCACUGGACCAUAACUGACGCUGAGGCGCGAAAGCUAGGGGAGCAAACAGGAUUAGAUACCCUGGUAGUCCUAGCCCUAAACGAUGGAUGCUUGGUGUGACCGGUACCCAAUCCGGUUGUGCCGAAGCUAACGCGAUAAGCAUCCCGCCUGGGGAGUACGGUCGCAAGGCUGAAACUC
rnacentral:rRNA from 1 species